AUUGAACGCUGGCGGCAGGCCUAACACAUGCCAGUCGAGCGGAUGAAGGGAGCUUGCUCCUGGAUUCAGCGGCGGACGGGUGAGUAAUGCCUAGGAAUCUGCCUGGUAGUGGGGGAUAACGUCCGGAAACGGGCGCUAAUACCGCAUACGUCCUGAGGGAGAAAGUGGGGGAUCUUCGGACCUCACGCUAUCAGAUGAGCCUAGGUCGGAUUAGCUAGUUGGUGGGGUAAAGGCCUACCAAGGCGACGAUCCGUAACUGGUCUAAGAGGAUGAUCAGUCACACUGGAACUGAGACACGGUCCAGACUCCUACGGGAGGCAGCAGUGGGGAAUAUUGGACAAUGGGCGAAAGCCUGAUCCAGCCAUGCCGCGUGUGUGAAGAAGGUCUUCGGAUUGUAAAGCACUUUAAGUUGGGAGGAAGGGCAGUAAGUUAAUACCUUGCUGUUUUGACGUUACCAACAGAAUAAGCACCGGCUAACUUCGUG
rnacentral:rRNA from 1 species